GGUGUAUGUGCGUGUGUAUGUGUGUGUGUGUUUGUGUGUGUAUGUGUGUGUGUGUGUAUGUUGUGGGCUUUGGAGAUCCCCAGAGGUGAAUGGAAGUAUAUACUUGUAAAUGACCUAGCUUGGCCUACAUAGACACGCAUUUUCCCCAAUAGGUGAUAGGAGGUACGUGUGUAUGCGUGUGCGUACAUCUGUCUUGUCUGAAGUAUUGAUAAGUUUUCUUAGAGCCCUCCACAUCAUGGACUGGACACCUUUUUGGGUGGGUACAGAUAUCUAUAUUUCUAUGCUACCUGGAAUACAGUGUGUGAGGGUGUGUGUGUGUGUGUGUGUGCAUACAUGUCUGUUUAGGGGCUUUCUACAUAGUGUGUUUCUGUCCCCUGUGUACACACACAUACACUUGUUUGUUUUUAAGGACAUGUGCCCUAUUCCUGUUUGUUUAUCCAGAUUUAUUUGUCCCCCUCCCUUUCUGCAGAGCUGCUGACCAAUGUGGCUGCACACACUGCUAUAUCCACAUUGCCCUGCCCAACCUCAGGGCCCCUGUGCACACAUACCCAGAUCCUUAUCUUUCUCUGUGUCUCUGCCCAGGGACAGGCCUGAAUCUGUGACAGCUCAAUGUACUCACACAUACCAAGGCUGAAGAGGUCCCAGGAAGGUAGCCACACCCAGGCACAACAUGUAUACUGGGGCACCCAUGCAUGCUGAUGUUGGCAUGGUGUCCCUUCAGGUCUGUACCCAUUUUUACACAAAUGCCUCCCAGAAAGACAUUUGUAGGGAUGUUACUGAUGAGGUGAGAUGUCAAGAGCUGCCCUCAGUCAGAUGGAAAAUAAGGGCAUUGACCCUUCCUGCCUCUUCCACACCCCCCUUGAACCUGGGAGAAGCAUUUGUCUUCACUAUCCUACCCUAUGCUCUGGGCUCUUCCUCAGGAAACUUGGGUUUGGGCAACUGUUGAUUUCAGAUUUACUGGAGUGGCCAGUGUGGGUUAAGUCCUGGGCCCCAUCCCCUAGACACCUCUCCUGCUGAAAUAUCAUCAAUGGCCAUUCCCCACACCAGGGGUAAGAUUGAGGGAUGUAGACUUGGUUUUCUGAUGGUGAGGAAAGGGUUAAUUUCUUCUUUGUGGUGUAGAUAGCAUAUGCAUAGUUGGUGGGUUUUGUAUUUGGUGAUAGUAGAGGGUAGACGGGGAAAGGACAGUGUUGGAAACCCACCCCCUCCCAAUGGCCCAGGAACAAAUAGGCUGAACAUACAAAGUACAUGAAUCUGCCCUGCCCUGGGGUGGGGCAUACCUGUGUACUAGCUGAAGGACUCUGGUUUAUGUGUGUAGGCUGCAGGUUACCACAUCAUGCAAAGUGUGAAUGUUUGCGUGUUUGUAUGAGAGCCCAUGCAAAUGUGACCUCCCAGAACACAUCCUUCCCAGCGCCCCCCCCUCAAACUCAGACAGCCAACCUCUUCCCUACCUCACUGUUUAGGUUCUGCCCAUCCUGGGUGUGUCUGUGUCAAUAUGGCCACAUGUAUGUAAACCCCAGAUCAGCUGUCCUGAGGAAGGGAGCUUGCUUGUCCAUUCCCAGAAUGCCCUUCUACAGGAUAGGAAGUCUGCCCGGAGUCUGACUGCAGCCCUUCUGCUCCCAUCCCAGGCUUCUAUGGAGAUGUCAGAGCUGAUCCCAGCAUCCAGCCCCCUUCUUCCUUCCUGCUUCCCAGCCAGGACCCCCUUUCAGCCCAGGUGUUUCCAGAAGCCCCACAGCUUUGAAGUUCACCAGAAGGGUGGAGCUGAGGCUGGAGUGCUGCUCCUGACUCUUUGAAUAGCAUUAGGCUCACAGCUGCCCAUCUCUGGGCCUCAGGUGGACCAGGGGAUCCCUGAGGUUCUGCUGUGCCCUAGCUUUCUAAAAGUCCCACACAUUAUAUGAUAGGUUUGCUUGUUGGCUGCUGUCUAUGUGUGUCCGAGUGUUGUCUAGGGGUUGGAAUUUUUUGCAUGUUCUCAGACAAGUGUGUGCUGCCCACACUCCAUGCAUCUACAGCCAUCAAGCCAUGUGCCCCGUGGGUGGUCCCAGGCCUGGCCAGGGCUCAGUGCUUUCCCUCCCUUAUUCCCCAUCCUGGCCUCUCAUGAAGCACACUGCGUGUUCAUCCCAUGUGCCCGUGGGUCGUCGCACGCUCAUGCCACGCCUUGAGCGUGUACACGUGAUGUGUUCUAUGCAUUUACCCUGCCCCCCCCAGCCCGCCCCGCAGAGGACAAGAUGGGUGGCCCCCGGCUCCCUUCUCUCCCACCUGCCCCCUGCCCGCUGUGCAGCUGUGUGCGUUGGCGUGUGUUUCUGUGUCGCUGGCGUGUCACGUGAUGUAGCUGUGUUUGCUGACAUGAGCCCCUGCCCCCUUCUCUGUUUCUCCGUUGGUUUCUAGAGCUCUCUCCCUUCCCUCUCUAGAGGGGACAGGACUCUUGGGGCCUGGCUGGGGGCCCAGAGCCAGGCUACCCUCUCCUGUUGGCCCUCAGUCUCAUUUCUCUCUAUUGGUGACCAAGUUGCAAAUGGAUAAAAUACAGGAAAUUCUACCCCCCAGCCCUGCAUGUCCUGUCCCCAGAGCCCCCCAACCCCCCUCCCGGGCCGGGCCGGGCCCCGUGGGAUGGGAGAAAUAGCAACCAAUCCAACAGCGGGCGUGCUGUGUGCUCACUUCCUUCUG
rnacentral:lncRNA from 1 species